rnacentral:ncRNA from 1 species
AAAAAAUUUGAUUUUUGUUUAUUUUUUCUGCUUUAAAAUUAAAAUACAUGUAAAUUUUUUUGUGGGAGGAAAGAAGGGGAAACUUAAAAAGUUUUUGAAUUUUCGCAGUGUGUAGAAUUAAAUUUUGUAAAUGUAAAUUUGAUUUGGUAAAUUUUAAUUUAAUCUGGCGAAAUCUGUGCCAGCAGUCGCGGUUAUACUUAGAGAUUGAGUGGAAAUUUAUUAGUAAUUAAUUAAUUGUUUAAUAUUUUUUAUUACGGUCUAAUAGAGGUAGAAAGGUAGAAUUGGUUUGCUUAUGGUUGGGAAAAAGAUAAGGAGUAAUAAGAGAUGAGGUUUAAGGAAACUAAGGGAUAAACUAGGAUUAGAUACCCUAUUAUACUUAGAAGUUGCAAAUUUACUAGGAGAUUAAUAGUUAUGGUCUUUAAAUUUAAAGAAUUUGGCGGUAUCUUAGUCCUGUUAGAGGAACCUGUUCUAUAAAACGAUAAACCACGAAAAAUCUUACUUAUUAAAAAAAUUAGUUUGUAUACCGUCAUUAUAGAGAACUUCAAGAGGAGAGUUAGUUGUUAAGAUUGCUUGUAAGCGAGAAUAUUAGAUCAAGGUGCAGUUGAUGAAUAAGGUAGGAUGGGUUACAAUAUUAAUUUAAAUAAACGGACUAAGGGGGUAAGACUCUCUUAUAAAGGAGGAUUUAAUAGUAAGUGGAUUUUAAUAAGGUUUGCUGAUAAAGGCUCUAAGUUAUGUACAUAUCGCCCGUCGCUUUCGUUACUAAAAUGAAAUAAGUCGUAACAUAGUAAAUGUACUGGAAAGUGUAUUUGG